GACCUGGCCUUAGACACUCGUGCGGGCGUUUGCCUCGGAUCCCCCUACCGUCUGGGGGCCUUAGGCGGCGGGGGGGGCUCCUGCCUGGCCGUCCUAGGAGGUAAGGGGAGAGCGGAGGGGAGUCGGGAAGAUAGCGGUAACCUGAUCGCACUGGCGGGAAGUCCUGCAACCAGUGCUGGUGGCCAGACCCGGCUCGGUGCCCCGAUCCCGCCUGUCCCCGACCCCGCCCCGCCCCGCCCCCCAUUCGUUAACGACUCCUCUUCCGUGGGUCUUCUCGGCCCCGGGAAUUAUUCCCUGGCCUGGGCCCUGGCGCUGCUCAUCGCUCCAGGAGGGUGGACAGGUGCAGGGGCGGAUGGAGGCGCAGGUGUGCACCUAGGCAGCUCAGGGCUCAUUCAUCGUCCCCAACCAGGCACCUCUGCGCCAGCGCACUGGGUCCCAGGGCGGCGGGCGCGGCCCGUUAGAGUCGAGACUCCAGGUGACGGAGACCGUGACCACGGCGAGCAGGUAGCCCCGGAGAGCUGCGCGGGGAGGGAGGGGAGCGCGGGAGGCCGAGACCACUCCCUCCUACUUCCCCGACGUUAUUUCCUGGGAGGAGUCGGAGCGCGCGGGCGGCCGAGCAGAUCCCCAGAGCCCGCUCGGGAGUCGGCGGCGUCGGGGCGGGUGGUCCCCGCGCGCUCGCCAGGCCGCCCCCACCCAGAGCCGUGGCCCUGGACCGCAUCGGGCCUGCUACGACCUCUAAAGGCGUCCGCGAGCGUUCUCUCACGUCGGCUCGUUGGUCUAGGGGUCCGGGCCCAGGGGGCCGGGGCUGCGGAUGACAGGGAGCGGAACGGGCCGGGACCCACCACGACCCGGCCUCCGUGGGCUUGGGGGCAGUCCAGGGCGAGCGGGGGGUCUCCGGCUGUCUCUUCCCAAGCGGCAGGAAGGGUGCAAGCCCCGGCCGAUCGCGGCCACAGCUCCAGAUCUCCGAGCCGGAGAGCGCCUCCUUCAGCUCCCUCCUCGUUAGUAUAG
rnacentral:lncRNA from 1 species